GAGCUCCUAGGAAUGCAGCUUUGAAGGACUGCUCGUUUUUUUGAUGUCUUCUCCCAAGUGGGAGAGAGACGCGUGGUCUUACUGCAUUCAAAGCCAAACACCAAGUAACUCAGUUGAUUGGUGCUAUUUUAUAGGUCAUCUAAAAGGUCAUUAAAUGCAAAAACAAAGUCAACUUCUCAUCUUAUAUUUGUCGUCGAGCUCCAAAUGUUACCGGGAGAUUCUGCAUUACUUUCAAACACACAAAGGGCCAAGGCUGGGAAACGACCAAUAGGAAUUUAUAUAGGUUUGAAACACGUGACCAACGAAUACUGUCCUAUGAAAAAAUACAAUACUUGACACUACCAUACACACAGUCCCAUUUAGAUUCAUUCAUGUGCUUUUUUUCCUCACCAAGUGAUGACACUUAGUCAAUUAUUACUACUUGCAAACUUUACACACAUCCCAGCAAUUGUUCCAGAUAGGCCUCAGAGGUCAGGAUGACAGCACGAAUACAAUGCAAACAACACACUCGAUUUCUUGUCAUAUCAAGGAUAUUAAUGCACACACACACACACACUCAAUACACUUCCUGUUAAAGGCUCAGGAAGUGAGUGUGGUGGUUUGUGUUCAAACUCAGUGUCACAAGUGUCGUGGGAGCAUUGAGAAAAUCUUCCGGGAGCCACGAUGAAUACAUUGACUGAAAAUCCCAGCGGGUUGUCCGGACACGUGAAGGAAGCGCAGCAGCGAUCCAAUCCGCCCACCUGCAUUCCCGGAUCCGCCUUGGAUACUUUCGCCGACUAUCUGGCCCGCGAUGUCGUCGGCCAACUCUUGCGUGGCAAAAGCAGCCGACCGGGUGGCCAAGACCCAGUUGGUGCGCUCGCCCGACAACUGGCUGGAAGCAUCAUCACUUCCUCUCUUCAAACUUUGAUAUGAGAACGAACGCUUAGGCGCCACAGUUGUUUUCACAAAAGGUCAAACGGUCCACAAGAUGGGAGCACCCUUUGGAAACUUUAACAGGAGGCCGAGCUGGCUGAGUACAGUUCCCCCCACAACCCCCAUGUUCACACCUCCAUUUCCGUUAUCACCUACUCUCUCUCUUUCAAGGAGAAGAAAUCAUUUCGCGCCCCCCCCCCCUCCCCAUGUUAUUAACAUUAAAGAAAACAAAAUAUAAAUAAAAAGGAAAGAUCAAACUUCAAUAAAGAAUACCUAUUAAUAACAUUGUUUUUUAGUCUGUAACAGAACAAAUUCCAUGUGCAUCACUUUGCCUGAAAUUAAAAAUGAAUUAUAAUUUAUUUAAACUCUAAAUAUUCUUGACCAACUGCCAUUUUAUGUUGGAAAAAAUACAAUAAAAAUACUUUUUAUCCCCUG